ACACAUGCAAGUCGAACGAUGAAGCCGCUUCGGUGGUGGAUUAGUGGCGAACGGGUGAGUAACACGUGGGCAAUCUGCCCUUCACUCUGGGACAAGCCCUGGAAACGGGGUCUAAUACCGGAUAACACUCUGUCCCGCAUGGGACGGGGUUAAAAGCUCCGGCGGUGAAGGAUGAGCCCGCGGCCUAUCAGCUUGUUGGUGGGGUAAUGGCCUACCAAGGCGACGACGGGUAGCCGGCCUGAGAGGGCGACCGGCCACACUGGGACUGAGACACGGCCCAGACUCCUACGGGAGGCAGCAGUGGGGAAUAUUGCACAAUGGGCGAAAGCCUGAUGCAGCGACGCCGCGUGAGGGAUGACGGCCUUCGGGUUGUAAACCUCUUUCAGCAGGGAAGAAGCGAAAGUGACGGUACCUGCAGAAGAAGCGCCGGCUAACUACGUGCCAGCAGCCGCGGUAAUACGUAGGGCGCAAGCGUUGUCCGGAAUUAUUGGGCGUAAAGAGCUCGUAGGCGGCUUGUCACGUCGGAUGUGAAAGCCCGGGGCUUAACCCCGGGUCUGCAUUCGAUACGGGCUAGCUAGAGUGUGGUAGGGGAGAUCGGAAUUCCUGGUGUAGCGGUGAAAUGCGCAGAUAUCAGGAGGAACACCGGUGGCGAAGGCGGAUCUCUGGGCCAUUACUGACGCUGAGGAGCGAAAGCGUGGGGAGCGAACAGGAUUAGAUACCCUGGUAGUCCACGCCGUAAACGUUGGGAACUAGGUGUUGGCGACAUUCCACGUCGUCGGUGCCGCAGCUAACGCAUUAAGUUCCCCGCCUGGGGAGUACGGCCGCAAGGCUAAAACUC
rnacentral:rRNA from 1 species